UUCAAUACUAUAUUGAUGAAUUAUUUGUUUAGCUUAUAGACUACUGUGAUAUAUAACUCUUAUGAGGAGUUAAUGAGUUACUGUAACAAUUGUGAUGGAUAAAUAUUGACUUAGUUAUGAGUUACUUAUCAUUGCAUUGGUUUGGUCUAAGGCUACUGUAGAAUGUGUAAAGGGUAGUGUAACAUGUGGUUACUUAGAAAUGGUUAAGUAUGAUGAUUGUUUGGGCC
rnacentral:lncRNA from 1 species